UGGUUCUGGCAUCGAUGAAGAACGCAGCGAAAUGCGAUAAGUAAUGUGAAUUGCAGAAUUCAGUGAAUCAUCGAAUCUUUGAACGCACAUUGCGCCCUCUGGUAUUCCGGGGGGCAUGCCUGUUCGAGCGUCAUUACAACCCUCAAGCACAGCUUGGUAUUGGGCUCUCCGCCGCUCCGGCGGGCCUCAAAAUCAGUGGCGAUGCCGUCUGGCUUCAAGCGUAGUAGAUUUCUCGCUAUGGAGAUCCGGCGGCCACCUGCCAGCAACCCCCAGUUUUUUUCAAAGGUUGACCUCGGAUCAGGUAGGGAUACCCGCUGA
rnacentral:misc_RNA from 1 species